UGGGGAAUAUUGCACAAUGGGGGAAACCCUGAUGCAGCGACGCCGCGUGAGCGAAGAAGGUUUUCGAAUCGUAAAGCUCUGUCCUAUGAGAAGAUAAUGACGGUAUCAUAGGAGGAAGCCCCGGCUAAAUACGUGCCAGCAGCCGCGGUAAUACGUAGGUCCCGAGCGUUGUCCGGAUUUAUUGGGCGUAAAGCGCGCGCAGGUGGUUUAGAAAGUCUGAUGUGAAAGCCCACGGCUCAACCGUGGAGGGUCAUUGGAAACUAAUAAACUUGAGUGCAGGAGAGAAAAGUGGAAUUCCUAGUGUAGCGGUGAAAUGCGUAGAGAUUAGGAGGAACACCGGUGGCGAAAGCGGCUUUUUGGCCUGCAACUGACACUGAGGCGCGAAAGCGUGGGGAGCAAACAGG
rnacentral:rRNA from 1 species